GAAAUGCGAUAAGUAAUGUGAAUUGCAGAAUUCAGUGAAUCAUCGAAUCUUUGAACGCACAUUGCGCCCGCCAGUAUUCUGGCGGGCAUGCCUGUUCGAGCGUCAUUACAACCCUCAGGCCCCCGGGCCUGGCGUUGGGGAUCGGCGGAAGCCCCCUGCGGGCACAACGCCGUCCCCCAAAUACAGUGGCGGUCCCGCCGCAGCUUCCAUUGCGUAGUAGCUAACACCUCGCAACUGGAGAGCGGCGCGGCCACGCCGUAAAACACCCAACUUCUGAAUGUUGAUCUCGAAUCAGGUAGGAAUACCCGCUGAACUUAAGC
rnacentral:misc_RNA from 1 species